GAGAUGGCUGCCAAAGCUACAGCAGUCUAGCCUUCACUUAAAUCACCUGAAAAUAGAGCCGCAGGAAGAGUUCUCCUCCUCUCUCUUUCCUCCUCCUCCUCAUUCUUCAGCCCCUCUCCCUUUUUCUUCUUUCCCCCUCUCUCUCUCCAUCCCUCCCUAUUUUCAGGAAUGUAAAAAAUCCCCAGAAGUCCCAAGCAAACUUUCUAGCUGCAGGCCACAUCGCCAUGCACUAGCACCAAGAGAUGCUGAGAGAUGGAUAUCUGGGAAAGAAGGAAUCCGUGAGCGGGGAGAGAGGGCUGGGAGGGAUGCUGGGUGGCCAACGCAGGGUGCCGUCCCAGGGAUUCCUGAAUUCUCCAAGGACAGGACAAUAUAAACCCUGGCCUCGAUAUAAACCCAGGUGUUGAGCAACUAAAGUCCUAGGGAAAGAUGCAUAGAGCUUGUUCUACUUGAAAAUCAUGGGCAUCACAGAACAGCCAAUAAUACAGGCUCACAGCAAGGCAGAGGAAUCUGGAUGCCUGCUAGCUACCUGUGAGUCUCUUCUGCAAUGCAGGUUCAUCACAAACUGUUCAAGGGCUUCACUUUGCAGCCCCUGAGCGUGGGGGCAGGGCCAUGUGGUUAGUUCCCACUAAAAGAUGUGAGCAGAUUGGUGUUUCACUUCGGGGAUCAGGACUUUCUAUGCUGAAGAGACGGGCAUCUGGGAGAGAGGAAAUCCAUCAGCAGGGAGAGAUUCCUUCUCACACUCUUCUUUUCUUCAGUGACUUUAGAAACCCUGUGUUCAGUAUGAUGAAGCUACAAGAGGGAAUGCAUCAUAUCCCUCGAGUGACCAUGUGAGAGACAGGGCUGUGAAUGAAAGCCAGAGAAAAAACAAGCACAUUGGGCUGUAUAAAAAAAAAAAAAAUCCCAUGGUUUUAUUGCUGGACUGCUGACAGGUGUGGGGUGGUUGCUAUAGGACAUUAGCCUAUCUGGCCAAUACACAUAUCCGGUCUCCAGGACAUGAACCAAUUUAAAGAAGAAAGAAGCUGAACAUCCAGUUAACAUCUGGUUGUUGACUAGUUUCAAUGCAACAGUUUUAUCUGCAAGCAAAUUUGUGUGUAGACGUGGCCAGAUACACACAAUUACACCUUUCUGCUCACUGCAAAAAUAUAGAAAAACAGUACCAAGAAUGAUGCUUGAAUGGUGAAUCUUUCAGAGUAUUGGCAGGAAAGACAUGACAGACUAAAAAGGGGAAAGUGAUGAGGGUCUAGGGAAUGGACUAUUUGCACAGAUCAGAGGAGACCUGAAGGUAAAAACAAGGGACAGAGAAGCGCGUCGGGGUGAUAGUAGGAAGCCCACUCUCUCUGGGCCAGAAGGGAAUGGAAAGGAGUAUGUGUGUGGGGCCCAGAGGGAGCUGCAACUAUAGGAUAUGGACACACAACAGGAGCUGUGGUCUCCAGCAGAACAACUCAGGCUCUGCCACCUGCAGCCAAGCAGUGUGGUAGGCACCUUGAUAUGCUGCUACCCAGACCCUUUUUGGAUGAAGGGUAUGUUACUGUAGCUUCAAAGAGUGCUGUCACAGUAUGUAGACUCCAGCUGCAGCCCCUUCAGGGAGUGUCUGAGCUGCUGAGAGUCAUCAUCCCCAAGGACAAGCCCAAUCCCAGAGGGCCCAGACAGUGAAUGGAUGCCAUCGGAGUAUAAUGGCUGACCAUCUCAGCCCACCUUAGAGAAAUUGCUAGGAUCAUCCUAUAUCCCAAGCUCAACCUAGAGUUGGCCAUGCUUUUCUGGGCCUGCCUCAGAGCUCAACCUUUCCCUGUGCCCACUCCUGCUUUCUUUCCUUCCUUUCCGAGGAGUGGCUCCCAGAGUCACUCCCCAGUAAACAUCCUGCACACUAACUUUUAUUCCAGAGUCUUUUUUCCUCAGUGAACCGCACAGGGAUUGGGAGAGAAAGCCAGGUUGCAAACACCCUCACGUCUCCCUCUCUUCCUACUCUUUUACCUGCCGGCACCACCCAUUGGCCAAAUCCAACUGAAAACAAGAGGGUGAGGAAACUGAGAUGAUUUGUUUAAAAUAGGGCUUGUUUAAAAUAGGGCUCGACAAGGGUGGGGAAUACAUGUUUGUUCUUUUAACCGUAAAAGGAGCUCGUGUAUCCAGGGAGGAAGGAGAGUGGGAAGCCGUUGGCUGAUGGUGUAGCAAAAGCAGUGCCCCUAAUGAAAACAAAUAUCUGGAUAAUAAUUUGGUCCAUAUGAACAGCCAGAUGCUGAUGAGAGUUUAUACAGUCCCUUGUUAACACGAAUCUGUUUUUCUUUUGUGGUUUCCUUUAAGAAUCAAAACUUCAGAGCACAACGUGGGUGAUGCAUGUUAUCCACAGACUCGUGUUCCUCUAGCAGGAUAUCUCAUUCCAGACAAAAACCUGGAGGUCACCUGCAACCCAGGUUGUCCCUCGUAUACUCCAAUCUGGUCAGUGAGCAUCUGUCAUGCAUGUGCCCAGCAGUGGGUCGGUUUCCAUGGGGCACACCUGAGACCCUAGUGCCUACAGAUGUAUUUGUUUAUCCUGCACAGUAUUUAGAAAAUGAAGUGUUUGACAACAUUUGCAAAUUGGAAGAUUUUAAUAAAAAUGUGGAAUUGUGGUUUUCCUUGGAGAGGUCAAUGCUGUGGUGCCACAGGGACCUCAAGCCUACUGAGUGGCAGCUGUCUUGCAGGCCCCACCUCUCCCUAUCGCCCCCGUCACAGGAGUGGAGUAUUAGAUGCUGUUUUUCACUGCACAUGAGCAGAGCUAAGGGAAGAGUCAAGUGUUUCUUCUGCCAAAUCCCUAUCCAAGUGGGAAAAUUAAAAGUAGGAUGGACCAGAUGUUUCAAGAAAAGUGAGAGGGAGCAUAUUUCUUCGAGGUAAUGAUAAAUAUUCCUUCAUGCCCCAUAUGUAAUUGUGUCUGUGGUAUAAGGGUAUAUUAUGCUCCACCUGUUUCCUCCCCAGCUUGGCCUGUGGUUGUUUCUGCUUGGAAUCCUGCUAUGAGCUCCAUAUUACGCCAGAGCCACAGGAAGGAGUAACAGUCGUAAGGAGAGGAAAAACUCAGGAAAUGCUUGUUGACUGAACAACUGAUGGCAAUUUUAUGCAGAGUAAUAAAAAUCAGUGCAGGUAAAUACAAAUAAAAACCUAGGCUUUCAAUAUAUUCAGAGACUGGAGCAAAUAAUAUGAGUUGGAACAGAAAGAAGCCACCUGGAAAUGGUGAAAGACUGGAUUAGAAACAGCUGUUUAGGCUUGUGUUUUUUAACUUCUUCAUCAUAAUCCAUAAUAAGAAAUAAUGCUGGACGUGGUAGCUCCCACCUGUAAUCCUAGCACUUUGCGAGGCUGAGGCAGGAGGAUCCCUGGAGGCCAAGAGUUCCAGACUACCUGGGCAAUACAACAAGACUCCAUGUCUACAAAAAUAAGAAAUAAAAAAUUUAGCUAAGCAUGGUGGUGCAUACCUGUAGUCCCAGCUACUUGGGAGGCUGAUACAGGAGGAUCACGUGAGCCCAGGAGUUCAAGGCUGCAGUGAGCCAUGAUGGAGCCACUGCACUCCAGUUCAAGGCCGCAGUGAGCCACGAUGGAGCCACUGCACUCCAGUUCAAGGCUGCAGUGAGCCACGAUGGAGCCACUGCACUCCAGUUCAAGGCCGCAGUGAGCCACGAUGGAGCCACUGCGCUCCGGUUCAAGGCCGCAGUGAGCCACGGUGGAGCCACUGCACUCCAGUUCAAGGCCGCAGUGAGCCACGAUGGAGCCGCUGCACUCCGGUUCAAGGCCGCAGUGAGCCACGAUGGAGCCGCUGCACUCCGGUUCAAGGCCGCAGUGAGCCACGAUGGAGCCGCUGCGCUCCGGUUCAAGGCCGCAGUGAGCCACGAUGGAGCCGCUGCGCUCCGGUUCAAGGCCGCAGUGAGCCACGAUGGAGCCACUGCGCUCCGGUUCAAGGCCGCAGUGAGCCACGAUGGAGCCACUGCGCUCCAGUUCAAGGCCGCAGUGAGCCACGACGGAGCCACUGCGCUCCAGUUUGGACAACAGAGCAAGACCCUCUCUUUAAAAUAAAUUUAAAAAAAACAAAUACAUAUUACAUUAAAAUUUAUCCAGCCCCCCCCAGCACACAAACACAAAUACAAACACCUAUAGAAUUUAAAUCAAAAUUUCACUAAGAAUAUACACAUUUGUUCCAAGAACCCUGAUAUAUUUUAUUCUAUUCCAUGCAUUUAAAAAAUGAUGGCAGUCCAUAAAUUGAUGUAAUUGAUUAUUAACAGUUUGCCAAUGGUCUACACCUAGGAAAUAGUAAUAAGCGCUGAAUUUGGCACCGGCAACUGGAAUAUUCCACAUCCUAGAAACAUUUCAGGUCCAGCUCUUUUUUCCUCUCUUUCCUGGAUUUUCCCUGUCUCAGGCUCUGUAAUACUACCCGUCGGGGAGGAUGCCACAAUGGCACAGAUCUGGGUUUUUAAGCGUUUAACUGGGACUCAUUUGAUGAAUCUUUAUUUUUUCUGGUAAGCAUGAGACCUCUCAAAGAUGCUGACCUCUCAUGAUAAGAAGUUGUUUCCUGUCUCAGGGUGUCCCAGGAACAUUAGAUGCAAGAAAUCAUUGCCAAAACCAAUGUCAUGAAGCUUUUCUCCCGUGCCUGCUUUUACGAGAUUUACGGUUUCAAAUCUUAUGUUUAAAUUUUGAAUUCAUUUUGAGUUGAUUUUUCUAUACUAUGUAAGAUUAGGUUCCCAUUUAAUUAUCUUGCAUGUGCCUAUCCAGUUUCCCAAAACCAUGUGUUGAAGAGAUCCUCUCAUAGUUGGGUCUUCCUGGUACCCUUGCAGAUGAUCAGCUGAUGAUCUGUGCAUGGAUGUGGCACCAAAAGCAGAGGCGACACAAGCAAAAAUGGACACAUGGGACUAUCUCCUACUGAUAGGCUUCUGAGUAGCAAAAAAAAUACGCAACAAAGGGAAAAGGUGACCCUACAAUAUGGGAGAAAAUACGUGCAAACCAUAUACCUGAAAGAGACUGAAAAUCCGAAAAUAUAAGAAAUUUCCAAAACUCAACAGCAAAACAAACAACCAACUCAAUUUAAAAAUUGGCCAAGGGCUGGGCACGGUGGCUCACACUUGUAAUUCUGGCACAUUGGGAGACUGAGGCUGGUGGAUCACUUUAGGACAGGAGUUCGAGACCAGCUUGGCCAACAUGGUGAAACCCUGUCUCUACUAAAAAUAAAAAAGAUUAGCCAGGCGUGGUGGCACGUGCCUGAAAUCCCAGCUACCAGGGAGGCUGAGGCACGAGAAUCAUCUGAACCUGGGAGGCAGAGGCUUGCAGUGAGCUGAAAUCAUGCCAUUGCACUCCAGCUUAGGUAGCAGAGUGAGACUCUGUCUUUAAAGAAACAAAAAACAGUAGGCCAAGUAUUUGAUUAUAUGUUUUUCCAAAGAAGACACACAACCGGCCAGUAGGUAUAUGAAAAGAUGUUCAACAUUACUAAUUAUCAGAGGAAUGCAAAUUGAAACCACAAUGAAAUAUCACCUCACACUUGCUGGGAUGACUAUUAUAAAAUAAAAUAAAAGGUAAGUGUUGGUAAGGAUAUGGAGCAAUUGGAACUCUUGUGCACUGUUGGAAGACAUGUAAAAUAGUACAACCACUAUAGAAAACUAUGGAGCUUCCUCAAAAAAAUUAAAAAUAGAACUACUGUAUAUUCCAGCAAUCCUAUUUCUGUGUAUAUGAAAAAAAAAAAGAAUUGAAAUCAAGAUCUCAAAGUGGUAUCUGCGCAUUCACAUUCAUUUUAGCAUUAUUCAUAAUAUCCAAGAUUUGGGAGGAAAAAAACAAAAACUAAAUAUCCAUACAUGGAUGAAUGGAUCAAAAAAUAUGGCACAUACCUGCAAUGAAAUGUUAUUCAGCCUCAUAAAAGAAGGAAAUUCUGCAGUGUGCAAUAACAGGAAUGAACCUGGGGGACAAUAUGCUAAGUGAAAUAACUGCUGCUUACAUGAGGUAUCUAAAAUGAACUCACAGAAGCAGAGAGUAGAGCAGUGAUUUCCAGGGGCUGGGAGACGAGGAACUGGAGUGUUCCCGUACGUGUAUCAGGUUUCGGUUAUGCAAUACGAAUAGGUUCUAGAGCUCUUCUGUACAACAUAGUGCCACGUGGUACACUUAGAAUCUGCUGAAAGGAUUUGAGAAAAGGAACACCAGCUGGCUCUCAUCUGAGUAAAGCAAGGCCCUUUGCAUUGCACAGAGGGAGAAAGAGCCUCAGACUCUCCUAGUUUGACAGGUCACAUUCAGGGUCAGUGGCAGGGACAUCAGCUCCCUUGGGCCAGUAAGCAGUCACCGGUUUUGGAGAGAACCGAGCUGAGACUUCUUUCACAAAGAGAAGGCACUCUCUCUCUCUUCCAGAUUCAAAGAAAGUGCAUCCAGCAGAAGCACCUCUGGGCUGCCACCUUCAGACCAGAAGAGACUGGCAAAUUCACCGAUUCCCAUAUGUGACUGCCCCAGACACUUGGCAACAUGUUGCUUGGGAAGGAGCUGCUAACUCACAUGCCGGAGCUACACAGAAAAAAAUCAGUGCCCAAAAUGUUGGUGCAAUUAAUUAAGUCUUCUUAAGAAAACUGAACUGUACGUUAUCAGUAGUCGAGACGUCCAGGUCUGUUUCAUAAGGAACUGGCUUCUGUGACCCAAGUCUGAUCAGCCUGAAACAAGCUCGGUUCUACAGCAUUGAGCCACAAAAGGAUGGGGUGACGGUCCCACAUCUCCUACUGUCACCCAGGAGUUAGGAACUCCUUAAGGUCAGAAUUCCAUUGUGGGUCUCACUGGGCUUCAGUCAAGGCCUCUGAAGGGUGAUGCUUCUCUCUGGAGGCUCCAGGGGAAGAUGCUUCCUUGCUCGUUUGGGUUUCUGGCAGAAUUCAGCUUCCUUCAUUGUAGAACUGAGGUCCCCGCUUCCGCGUUGGCUGUUGGCUGAGGGUCAUUUGCAGCUUCUGGAGGCCGUCAGGGCUCCUUGCUCAUGGCUCUUUCCUCCAUCUUCAAAUCCAGCAAUGCCAGGUAGAGGAAAGGUUCUCAUUCAUAUAGACUGAAGUGCACUAGCUCAGUCUGUCACCAACUGCAAAACAGUUUCAUCAAGUUAAGAAAGACAAAGCUUGGCUCCAUAUGAUUCCAACUGUCCCUUCUUCUUUCUCAUCUAUUUAUUCCUGACCCCCAUGAUAUGAGUCAGGGAGGCAGAAUCUCUUUUUAUUUUAUAACCUUGUUUUCCUUGGUUGGUGUCACACCAUUAAACCAAAUGCACAUCCCUGCCUUUAGAAAUUCAGCAUAGCUGGGACUUUAAUAUCUCUGCAGAUGGAUGAGGGCAGCAGCAGUCAAGAAUGUGGCUUAAAGUGAAAUCCCCUUUUCAUGAGCCCAUGAAGACAAAUGACAGGGGUCAACUGCCAGCAGUCAAAAGGGCCAUUAGCAUUUUCUUUAUUUUAGAAAUAUUUCAGGCACUUCUUCAACUGCUCUCCAGUCAGCUAGCUGGGUAUUUUGUACGUGACAUCCUUCCAAGUUUUGCCCAGCUGUCUGAAACCACGCCAGGGAGUGACCACAGAAAAAGUACUAUUGAAUUCAACAGACAGCGACUGGAUUGGAUUAAAUAGUUCAUUUGACAUUUAAGAAUCCCUCUGAUGCCACUUUUCAGGUUGUACUCCUGCUGAAAUGUUGUCAUGAACUUAUUCUGGCUCCUGUCUUUUGCUAAAAGUCACCUUACUUAAAAGUCAAAUUUAAAUUCAGAAGCAUUUCCAGCACAAAUAUUUGACUUAUACUGAAAAACCAGAAACUCUGAUCCUACCGGCCGCACCUGCCCCCAUGGCAGGAACCAGCUGGAGCUGAGGAGCCAGCACGCUUCCAGAUGGGGCUGUCCACUCACAGUCCUCACCACUACCUGUUCUCUAAAUAUAUUACAUGACUGGUCCCUGAAAGCCUUUGGAUGUGUGACCCCUGCUCACAUUUACUCCUCAAAAACAUUAAUCCCUUGUUAUGUUACAAGAACUGUACUAAACCCUGGAAAUAGAAAGACGGACACAGAACAGCAUCCUUUUCCCCAAAGAACUCAGAGUUAAUCACAGGAAACGUGUAGAAAAGAGCAGGACCUAAUCAAGUGAUAGGUGGGGCAUAGGGAAGACCAGAAGCUAUGAGGACCUGGAGAACAGGCUUAUUGCAAUUGCAUCGGUCAGAGGGAAAUUCCCAGGGCACAUGAUGCCUGUAACAGGUAGAAGUGAUGAAAGCAGAGAAGCAAGGACCUUUCUUCCAGGCACAAGGAGAAGCAUGAACUAAAAGAGCACCGUAACAUCAUGAAACUCACUAAUGACCAGCUGACUGCAGUUCCACAUGAGCAAAGGCUGUCUUAGUCGCUUUUCAUCCACAGAAGUGCUGGGUUCAUGAGGGGACCCAGCCAAGGGUCCUACCUGCUGGUGUGGCUGCCUAUCUGAGUGUGUGAGCUAAGAGGAGAAUUUCAACAGAAAUGAAAUAGCAAAGGCUAUACCGUUGGUUACCCGUUCUUCUGACUCCGGACUAUAAUGCUCUCCCUGUCAGAGCGGAGUGUUGGCCGCUCUGGUGCCACAGUACCGAGCGCAAUGUCCCCAGAAAACAAAACAAACAGGUGUACUUUACUUUUAGUUUAAUGAACCUGCUAAAGUUUACAUCUGUCCCCCAAAGUUUACGUGCUGGAAAGUUAAUCCCCAACGUAAUAAUAUUGAGAGAAAGGGUCUUUAAUAGGUUACCAUGGCUCUGCUGUCAUGAGUGGAUUAACGUGAUAGCUCAGGAGUGAGUUUCUAUUAAAGCGUGUUUGCCCCUCCCUUGCCCUCUCUCACUCUGCCCUCACUUGCCCUCUGCCUUCUGCCAUGGGACGAUGCAGUAAUUCGGCCCUCAGCAGAUGCCACUGCCAUGCUCCUGUGCCUUCCAGCCUCCAGAAGUAUGGGCCAAUCAGUUUCUACUCGUUAUAAAUGAACUGUGUCGGGUACUCCGUUAUAGCAUCACAAACACACUAAGGAAGACAGUCGAUCAAUAAAUGAAGGCGAUGCGGAAAUUAUUCCUCAAAAUAAAAGAAAAUGAGGUUGCAAAAGCUGUUUCUCUAAUCCAGAAGCUGGCGAACGUUUUCUUAAAGAGUUAUAUAGUAAAUAUUUUAUGUCUCUGCUGCACCUAAAUAUAACAUCAUGCUCAAUGUUUCUGUUACAAGGUUAUUAGAUUAUCUUACAGGGCGAAAGCAGCCACAGAUACUAUGCAAAUA